rnacentral:lncRNA from 1 species
GCUUUUGAAAGGCUCAGCAUUUUCUGAGUUUUAGGCUCCCUUCAUGUUUCUCACAAAGUGGUUGCCCAAAGUCAUCAGAUCUGUUUGAAAACCUGUCUUUACCACAUAGGAAUUCAGAUGCACAGCUGCAUUUCCCCAGGGUUUCAGAGUGUCCUCCCCAGCUCACGAAAUAAAGCAUGGAAGAGCCAGGUUUGUAUCAAAAAUGCAGACAAAUAAACGGUAGCUCACAUUGUGGGGAUUUGUUUGUUUAGCAGAGACUCAGAAUGAAAGAUGACUUGAAAGGAAAAGGUAAUGUGAUCCUUAUUUUGUCCACCCCAUGGAGCUUCUUUUCCAAAUCCUUCAGCCAUUUAAAUACCACAGCUUCUGGAGGCUGCAAAGAUCAGAGAAACAAAAGGGCAAUCACUCAUGUAAGCACCAGCCCUCCACUUUAAAAGCUCCCUGUGCAUUCUUUCAACUUCUGCCCCCAAUUAUAUUUUCUUAACAUUCAAAACAGCUUUAGGACAGCAGGUGCCUUCCUCACUCAUGCAUUGUUCACACAAUGUUGCCUGCCUUCCCUGUGGUUGUCAUCUUCUUUAAAGUAUUGCAUUUCCAGAAAAAAUUAGCAUAACAGUCUUAUAUCCCCCCAAAAAAGGCAGAAAGAAGAUUUGCUGUCCUCUAGCUACAUUCCAGCCUAACCUAUGACAAGCCUGCACUCUGAGCUGCUUGGUGUAAAUGCAAUACUCCCACUAUGGAAAGAAAUGAUUUGGGUGUAUACGAGCAUCAGGGCCACGUUCUGCAAAGCGCAGCAAGGCAGGUCCCCAAACACCCCUCAGUGGGAGUCUAUGGAGGAAACCAGAAGCCCACACCAGCAACUCAGGUAGCAGUGAACCCAAAUUGUCAGUUCUGGACGAUCUUAGAAGAUGGACUAGAAGCAAUUACUUGCAUUCUUUAAAACACCAUUGAUCUAAUGCUGUCACAUGAAAUCAUGUCUGAUUCUGAUGGUGCACAUCCUGCUGAAGUGAACCUGCACUGUUACUCUGUGACUAAAAUAUAUAACAAUGCAGAAUAAUAUUUUUUGAGCUUAGGUCAAAGAUCCCCUGAUAUCUCACAGAAAAUUCUGGAACAUGCUUGGAGACAUUUUGCUCACAUCACAUUUUUCCUAUAUAUUUUGAUCUAUUUCAGGUUCAUUGGAACCAAUAAUUUAUGUAUUUAUAAAAUAUUCUGGGCUACACAUCCUGAUAUUUGGAUGGGUAGAGUAUCUGUUACAGUUCCUGAGCUGAUCUGCUGCUAUUGCAUAUUUAACUAGAUUUGUAAUCUUUCAUUGAACAUAUUACAUACCUGCCUGGAACCUUUUUUUAUUUUAUUUUUAUUGAGGUAAGAGAUGGUAUAAAUAAAAAAUACCUUAACUUUUCA